rnacentral:rRNA from 1 species
CGGGAAUUUUGGGCAAGGGGCGAAAGCCUGACCCAGCAACGCCGCGUGAGGGAUGAAGUAUUUCGGUAUGUAAACCUCGAAAGAAUGGGAAGAAUAAAUGACGGUACCAUUUAUAAGCUCCGGCUAACUACGUGCCAGCAGCCGCGGUAAUACGUAGGGAGCAAGCGUUGUUCGGAUUUACUGGGCGUAAAGGGCGCGUAGGCGGCGCGGUAAGUCACUUGUGAAAUCUCUGAGCUUAACUCAGAACGGCCAAGCGAUACUGCUGUGCUAGAGUGCGGAAGAGGCAACCGGAAUUCUUGGUG